rnacentral:rRNA from 1 species
GAACGCUAGCGGCAGGCUUAAUACAUGCAAGUCGAGGGCCUAGCAAUAGGACCGGCGCACGGGUGCGUAACACGUAUGCAACCUGCCUGUAUCUGGGGGAUAGCCCGAGGAAACUCGGAUUAAUACCGCAUACCACUGAGGGUUGGCAUCAAUUUUCAGUGAAAGAUUUAUCGGAUACAGAUGAGCAUGCGUCCCAUUAGCUAGAUGGUAAGGUAACGGCUUACCAUGGCGACGAUGGGUAGGGGUCCUGAGAGGUCAAUCCCCCACACUGGCACUGAGAUACGGGCCAGACUCCUACGGGAGGCAGCAGUAGGGAAUAUUGGGCAAUGGACGCAAGUCUGACCCAGCCAUGCCGCGUGCAGGAUGAAGGCGUUAUGCGUUGUAAACUGCUUUUAUACAGGAAGAAACGACUCUUGCGAGAGGCAUUGACGGUACUGUAUGAAUAAGCACCGGCUAACUCCGUG